rnacentral:rRNA from 1 species
GAUGAACGCUGGCGGCGUGCCUAAUACAUGCAAGUCGAGCGAAUGGAUUAAGAGCUUGCUCUUAUGAAGUUAGCGGCGGACGGGUGAGUAACACGUGAGUAACCUGCCCAUAAGACUGGGAUAACUCCGGGAAACCGGGGCUAAUACCGGAUAAUAUUUUGAACUGCAUGGUUCAAAAUUGAAAGGCGGCUUCGGCUGUCACUUAUGGAUGGACCCGCGUCGCAUUAGCUAGUUGGGGAGGUAACGGCUCACCAAGGCAACGAUGCGUAGCCGAACUGAGAGGGUGAUCGGCCACACUGGGACGGAGACACGGCCCAGACUCCUACGGGAGGCAGCAGUAGGGAAUCUUCCGCAAUGGACGAAAGUCUGACGGAACAACGCCGCGUGAGUGAUGAAGGCUUUCGGGUCGUAAAACUCUGUUGUUAGGGAAGAACAAGUGCUAGUUGAAUAAGCUGGCACCUUGACGGUACCUAACCAGAAAGCCACGGCUAACUACGUGCCAGCCGCCGCCGUAA